rnacentral:rRNA from 1 species
AACGAACGCUGGCGGCGGGCUUAACACAUGCAAGUCGAGCGCCCCGCAAGGGGAGCGGCAGACGGGUGAGUAACGCGUGGGAAUCUACCCAUCUCUACGGAAUAACGCAUGGAAACGUGUGCUAAUGCCGUAUACGUCCUUCGGGAGAAAGAUUUAUCGGAGAUGGAUGAGCCCGCGUUGGAUUAGCUAGUUGGUGGGGUAAAGGCCUACCAAGGCGACGAUCCAUAGCUGGUCUGAGAGGAUGAUCAGCCACACUGGGACUGAGACACGGCCCAGACUCCUACGGGAGGCAGCAGUGGGGAAUAUUGGACAAUGGGCGCAAACCUGAUCCAGCCAUGCCGCGUGAGUGAUGAAGGCCCUAGGGUUGUAAAGCUCUUUCACCGGUGAAGAUAAUGACGGUAACCGGAGAAGAAGCCCCGGCUAACUUCGUGCCAGCCGCCGCCGUAAGAC